rnacentral:rRNA from 1 species
GAUGAACGCUGGCGGCGUGCUUAACACAUGCCAGUCGAACGGAAAGGCCACAGCUUGCUGUGGUACUCGAGUGGCGAACGGGUGAGUAACACGUGGGUGAUCUGCCCUGUACUUCGGGAUAAGCUUGGGAAACUGGGUCUAAUACCGGAUAGGAAUCACAUGUGGGUGUGUGGUUGGAAAGCUUUUGCGGUAUGGGAUGAGCUCGCGGCCUAUCAGCUUGUUGGUGGGGUAAUGGCCUACCAAGGCGUCGACGGGUAGCCGGCCUGGGAGGGUGUACGGCCACAUUGGGACUGAGGUACGGCCCAGACUCCUACGGGGGGCAGCAGUGGGGAAUAUUGCACAAUGGGGGCAAGCCCGAUGCAGCGACGCCGGGUGGGGGAUGACGGCCUUCGGGUUGUAAACUCCUUUCGUCAGGGACGAAGCGAAAGUGACGGUACCUGGAUAAGAAGCACCGGCUAACUACGUG